rnacentral:rRNA from 1 species
ACGCAGGGAGCGAGCGUUGUCCGAAUUUACUGGGCGUAAAGCGCGCGUAGGCGGGUUAUUAAGUUGGGGGUGAAAUGCCGAGGCUUAACCUCGGAACUGCCUCCAAAACUGGUAGCCUUGAGGUAUGGAGAGGGAAGUGGAAUUCCAGGUGUAGCGGUGAAAUGCUAAGAUGCCGGGAGGAACACCCGUGGCGAAGGCGCCUUCCUGGCCAUAUCCUGACGCUGAGUUGCGAAAGCUAGGUGAGCGAACGG